rnacentral:rRNA from 1 species
CUUCAUUGACCGCUCACCCUUCUCACCAUCCACAUACACCUGGUGCACUGUUUAGCCUGAGCCGGUUUUCCGGUCCAGGUUAUCAUUUCAUACAAACUCUAGUCUUAUGAAUGUAAACGUUUUAAUAACAUAAUAAAACUUUCAACAACGGAUCUCUUGGUUCUCGCAUCGAUGAAGAACGCAGCGAAAUGCGAUAAGUAAUGUGAAUUGCAGAAUUCAGUGAAUCAUCGAAUCUUUGAACGCACCUUGCGCUCCUUGGUAUUCCGAGGAGCAUGCCUGUUUGAGUGUCAUGAAACUCUCACCCUCUAGCUUUCUUAAUCGUGGCUAGCGGCGUGGACGUGAGCGCUGCUGCUUUGUUGCGGCUCGCUCGAAAUGCAUUAGCAGACCCUUUUCGUAAUCGGUUCCACUCAACGUGAUAAGUAUUUCGUUGAGGACAGUUGCAGCAAUGCGGCUGGCCGGGAUAAGAAAGGUAUAGUUGUCAGCUUCUAAUCGCCCUUGGGCAAUUUUUUAUGAUCUGGCCUCAAAUCAGGUAGGACUACCCGCUGAACUUAAGCAUAUCAAUAA